rnacentral:rRNA from 1 species
UUUCAUUUAGUGGCGCACGGGUGAGUAACGCGUAGAUAAUCUGCCUUAGACUCUGGGAUAACAUCUCGAAAGGGGGUGCUAAUACCGGAUAAGCCCACGAUGGCGUAAGUCGUUGCGGGAAAAGGGGGCCUCUGAAUAUGCUCCUGAUCUAAGAUGAGUCUGCGUACCAUUAGCUAGUUGGUAGGGUAAGAGCCUACCAAGGCGACGAUGGUUAGCUGGUCUGAGAGGAUGAUCAGCCACACUGGAACUGAGACACGGUCCAGACUCCUACGGGAGGCAGCAGUGGGGAAUUUUGCGCAAUGGGGGAAACCCUGACGCAGCAACGCCGCGUGAGUGAUGAAGGCUUUCGGGGUCGUAAAAGCUCUGUCUAGAGGGAAGAAAUGAUAGUCGGUUAAUACCCGGCUUUCUUGACGGUACCUCUGAAGGAAGCACCGGCUAACUCCGUGCCAGCAGCCGC